rnacentral:rRNA from 1 species
CCUACGGGAGGCUGCAGUAGGGAAUAUUGCACAAUGGGGGAAACCCUGAAGCAGCAACGCCGCGUGGGUGAAGAAGUAAUUCGGUAUGUAAAGCUCUAUCGGCAGAGAAGAAAAUGACGGUACCUGAGUAAUACGCCCCGGCUAACUCCGUGCCAGCAGCCGCGGUAAUACGGAGGGGGCAAGCGUUAUCCGGAUUUACUGGGUGUAAAGGGUGCGUAGACGGCAGUGCAAGUCUGGAGUGAAAGGCUGUGGCUCAACCACCGGACUGCUCUGGAAACUGUACGGCUGGAGUGCAGGAGAGGUAAGUGGAAUUCCUAGUGUAGGGGUGAAAUGCGUAGAUAUUAGGAGGAAUACUAGUGGCGAAGGCGGCCUACUGGACUGUAACUGACGUUGAGGCUCGAAAGCGUGGGGAGCAAACAGGAUUAGAUACCCGAGUAGUC